UGAUUGGGUGAUUGGAUACAA
rnacentral:piRNA from 1 species